AAAGCAGGUUGCAAUUACAGUGCUUCAUUGUGUGGGAGUACUGCCAUUAUCCUGCUGAAAGUAAUUACUGCUGUAGAGUAACAACCUCGUCACGCCUCGCGUUGACGAGGAUGCUCUGUAACAGUGACACAA